rnacentral:rRNA from 1 species
AUACGUAGGGAGCGAGCGUUGUCCGGAAUUACUGGGUGUAAAGGGAGCGUAGGCGGGAGUGCAAGUCAGAUGUGAAAUACAUGGGCUCAACCCAUGGGCUGCAUUUGAAACUGCAUUUCUUGAGUGAAGUAGAGGUAAGCGGAAUUCCUGGUGUAGCGGUGAAAUGGGUAGAUAUCAGGAGGAACACCGGUGGCGAAGGCGGCUUACUGGGCUGUUACUGACGGUGAGGCACGAAAGCGUUGGGAGCAAACAGGAUUAGAUACCCCGGUAGUCCACGCUGUAAACGAUGAUGACUAGGUGUGGGGGGACUGAACCCUUCCGUGCCUCAGUUAACACAAUAAGGCAUCCCCCUGGGGAGUCCGGCAUCAAGGUUGAAACUCAAAUGAAUUGACGGGG